rnacentral:lncRNA from 1 species
GCAUAUUAUUCUCCGGAUUUUAACACAGUAUCUUCACAACCUUAUUAUAUUUGUAAGCAUUGAAUAUGUGCCACCCUUAAAUGAUUUCACAACAGCAAGUUCUAUUAAAGAACAUGUACAUUUACCUAAACGAUUAACAAUCGAACAGUCAGUUAAAUCAUUAUUAGUCAGUAACUUGUAGACCAUCAUAGAGAAAUCAUAGCCUUAACCCUAAUCCGCUACUUAACGCAGUAGUUAACUGAAGAAAAAAAAA